rnacentral:rRNA from 1 species
UACGUAGGGUGCGAGCGUUGUCCGGAAUUAUUGGGCGUAAAGGGCUCGUAGGCGGUCUGUCGCGUCGGGAGUGAAAACUCAGGGCUUAACCCUGAGCCUGCUUCCGAUACGGGCAGACUAGAGGUAGGUAGGGGAGAAUGGAAUUCCCGGUGUAGCGGUGAAAUGCGCAGAUAUCGGGAGGAACACCGGUGGCGAAGGCGGUUCUCUGGGCCUUACCUGACGCUGAGGAGCGAAAGCGUGGGGAGCGAACAGG